UCCGGUUUGACACCGGCAGUCUCCUAUGAGUCCCCGACAUAACUCGCUGGCAACAUAGGAUAGGGGUUGCGCUCGUUGCGGGACUUAACCCAACACCUCACGGCACGAGCUGACGACAACCAUGCACCACCUGUAUAGGACGCCGAAGCACACCAUAUCUCUAUGGCUUUUCCCUAUAUUUCAAGCCCUGGUAAGGUUCUUCGCGUUGCAUCGAAUUAAGCCAUAUGCUCCACCGCUUGUGCGGGCCCCCGCCAAUUCCUUUGAGUUUCAACCUUGCGGCCGUAGUUCCCAGGCGGGGUGCUUAAUGCGUUAGCUGCGGCACGAACGGCGUGGAAGGUGGGGAUGACGUUACUUACAGCGUAC
rnacentral:misc_RNA from 1 species